UACGUAGGGUGCAAGCGUUGUCCGGAAUUAUUGGGCGUAAAGAGCUCGUAGGCGGUUUGUCGCGUCUGCUGUGAAAACUCGGGGCUUAACUCCGGGCCUGCAGUGGGUACGGGCAGACUAGAGUGCGGUAGGGGAGACUGGAAUUCCUGGUGUAGCGGUGAAAUGCGCAGAUAUCAGGAGGAACACCGGUGGCGAAGGCGGCAUCCUGGACCAACACUGACACUGAGGAGCGAAAGCCAGGGGAGCAAACGGG
rnacentral:rRNA from 1 species